rnacentral:rRNA from 1 species
UUGACCUCAGAUCAGGUAGGAAUACCCGCUGAACUUAAGCAUAUCAAUAAGCGGAGGAAAAGAAACCAACAGGGAUUGCCCCAGUAACGGCGAGUGAAGCGGCAACAGCUCAAAUUUGAAAUCUGGCCUCGUGCCCGAGUUGUAAUUUGUAGAGGAUGCUUUUGGCGACGCGCCUUCCGAGUUCCCUGGAACGGGACGCCAUAGAGGGUGAGAGCCCCGUCCGGUCGUGCGCCUAGCCUCUGUAAAGCUCCUUCGACGAGUCGAGUAGUUUGGGAAUGCUGCUCUAAAUGGGAGGUAUACGUCUUCUAAAGCUAAAUACCGGCCAGAGACCGAUAGCGCACAAGUAGAGUGAUCGAAAGAUGAAAAGCACUUUGAAAAGAGGGUUAAAUAGUACGUGAAAUUGCUGAAAGGGAAGCGCUUAUGACCAGACUUGGGCGCGGCGGAUCAUCCGGCGUUCUCGCCGGUGCACUCCACCGCCCCAGGCCAGCAUCAGUUCGCGCCGGGGGACAAAGGCUUCGGGAAUGUGGCUCUCUCGGGAGUGUUAUAGCCCGCUGCGUAAUACCCUGGCGCGGAC